rnacentral:lncRNA from 1 species
UAUGUAUUACUCUCAUGCUUUGGAAUGAGCGGCCAAGAAACUUCUGCCUCAUAUGGACUCCAUAUGCAGCUGUUAAGUUAGCAGAAACACAAUUAGUUGGCGCCUAAGCUGCAUAUUGAGUAGAUUAGGCCGGAUCGCACAGGCGUUGUUUGAGAUUGUUGUCUCCAAUAUUUAAGAAAGCUAUUAGGUGUUUGAGGAUGUGGGGUGAUAAAGCAUCUCUGAGUUCACAUAUGUCCUGUUUUGUAUUUUUAUUAUGGAGUGCAAAUAUCUGUGGAAUCUUGGUUGUUUGUUUUGCACUGCUGAGCUCCAGAGAGGAUUAAAAACAUAGUCUGUGAAAAACAGACAUCUCUUUAUUUCCAUUGUUCCCUCCCCAUCCCAGGCUAGGCCGAGAAUGUUGCAGUGGGUAAAAGACAGCCUGGGCUCAGAUGUAGGCCCUGACACUCCUACCUGUGUGAGUAUGUAUAGGCAACAUCUUUAGGGUCACCCCAGACACCAGCAUGCUAAGGAGUGCAGGUGAACAGGGACUUCCAGAAAGUACCCCACUGUCACGGUGUGCUCUGGGUCUCUGUCCCUUGAGAAGGGUGUUGUCAGGUUUAGGAUGUGUUCCCUGAAGGAUGGAAUCUGUCACUUUUCAAGCUUGCUUUCCAUUGUCCUGCUCCCACGGAAGGAUCUUGGAAGUCCAUCCUUUUCCUUGGCUAGUAGAUGGUAAGGUUUGGCCUGGGGACAGCUGCCACAUGCUCUCACCGUGUCCAUGUGUUGCGACGGUCUGCUUCUGUGCUGUCACCGAGCUUUCCUCUUACGUGGGGACCCUGUGUGUGCGCAUUGUGUGUGUAGGUGCCCCGGCGUGCAUGGGUGUGACGUGGACGUCAUAUCUCAGACGCCGUCCACCUUGUUUUCUGAGACUGGGUCUCUCCCUGGCAUGGAACUCACCAGUUAGGUUGCACUGGCAUACAAGACAUCUCCUGUCUCUGCCUUGUGAGUACUGGGAUUGCAAAUGUGUACCACUGUACUUAGCUUUUUUUUUCUUUGUUUUUUUAAAGUGGCUUUUAGGGAAUCAAACUUAGGUUCCCUAUGUUUGUGUAGCAAGCGUUUUACCAACUAAAUUAUUUUCCCAGCUAGGGGGUCCUUUUGAGGCCAUUUAUAUCCGCAUUAUAAUUACAAUUAAAUAUACAUAAGUAUGCCUAAAAACUGCUUAAAAUAUACUGAGUAAUAAUUAUCCAUUGAAAUAAUUUAAUUAAAUUUGAAGUAAUUUUUUUUUUCAUUAAGGAACAAAAUAAGCAUCCAUUUGGCCCCCACUACAAAAAAAUUGCUAUACACAAAUAGGUAUGCUUAUGAAAUUACUUAGUUUAUUAGCAUAUAAUUCAUCCAGAUUAUUACAUUCUCUUAAUUGAAUUUACACUUGUAUGCUUAUAAUUUUAAAAAUAGUUUUAAACAAGAGGUGUCUACGAGCUGCCGAACAUUAAGGGCUCUGGUAUUUUUAGUUGUCUGAGAGGUAAAAUUCUAGGUCUAAAGGGAAAACAUGGAUGCUAUAGUAAAAGAUAACUCUCCUGCUCUGUGCUGUGAGCAUCUGCAGCAGAGUUUGGAUUGAUUUUCACCUUCUGAACUGUCAUAGACGAUUUCUGUUCCUUCCUUGACAUAGGAGAUUCCUGUAGCUCAACCCUUACCUAGUCUGAGGCCAUCCUCUGCCUCUUCACAAAAGUUCUAAAGGUGAAAAAGUGGGCUGGGGAGGGAGAUGAGAAGCCAAAGCUGAGGUUGGUUACCACACCGAGGGACGUGCUUGCUUCUUGGAGUUGUGUCUUGUGGAUGUCAAAGCCCCUUUCCAGGAAGGGCCUUACUGUUUGCUGCCGUGAUGGGAAGAGUGUAUUGAGGCUCGUGAGAAGCAAUGGCUGAGAUUGGGAGCUGCAGAGGGAUACUCAUCUAUGUUUGGAAGCCCACACAGGCAUUGGGUGAUUUCUUGGACAGCGUUCCUGGCGGUUGUAGUGAGAGUGAGCUUUACCUGGGCCAUUGCUCUGGUUGUUCAUAGGGAGCAGCCUUCAUCCUUCAGACAUGAUGUAAUGUCUUUCUCCAGACAAAGAGCAGCCUCUGUGGACAGUGGGGCCCCAGAAUCCCAAACAUUGCUCCUCAGCUAUGAUGCCUACCCACUGCAUGGACAGCAUUCACCUUUGACCUUUAGAGCAAAGAGAACCCAGGCCAGAAUGAUGUUCCUGCUGCCUCCUGUGCUCUGUAUGGUAAGUCCUUAGUGCCUGGUCCAGAAAUCUUUGUCGUCCUCUUCUUCUUCUCCUUCUCCUCCUCCUCCUCCUCCUUCUCCUCCUUCUUCUUCUUCUUUUUUUUUUCCUGAGACAGGGUUUCUCUGUGUAGCCCGGGCUGUCCUGGAACUUACUUUGUAGACCAGGCUGGCCUCGAACUCAGAAAUCCGCCUGCCUCUGCCUCCCGAAUGCUGGGAUUAAAGGCGUGUGCCACCAACGCCCAGCUUCUUUCAGGGUUCAAAAAGCAGACGCCAGUUAAUUUAUUACCUUGUCUAUGGGGUAAAGUCAAAUCUAGACCUGUCUGGUUAUCCUGUGUACAGCUUUUAUACCCAGUUAGAUGUGCUCACAUAAGUCCUGCAUAGAACAUACUUACACGGGCCUCCUCCACAGAGAACAUGGUUGGGAAGGCGAGGGUUGGUAGUGCCUCAUAGCUGGUCAGGUUUCUUAGCGGCAAGGAUGUCAUCUUAGAUACUUCUCUGUGUGUCAGUGUGCCUCCAGGCAAGCAAAGGAGACAGACCACAGUACCUUCAGGAAUUGCGUCCUGUGUUGGAUGAGAUUGAAGCUGAGCCCAAGUGUGAUUGAUUCUUGGUCGUAGAAAAGGAGUCUGACACCAGGAGUGUGGGCAGCCCCUUCAGGGACAAGCUGUAGCCCAUCUGAGGCAAAAAUGCAGGGUUAGCCAGAUGCCUGGCCCUUAAGAACAGAUGGGAGUGUCCUAGCAAGGUGCUCCUACCACGAGGCAGCAACGGCCUGUCUUGACAGCAGUGGGCCUCUGAUGAAACAGGGCCAGAGAGAUCUCGAAAUCUGUGUCUGGUAUUUGUAAGUUGUUUUCAGGCACUCAGCCAUGCUGUUGGAGAAGGCCUCAGAGCUCACCUCAGAGCUCACCUGAGGCACGUUAGGGACGAGUUGAUGAUUGAUUCUCAGUCGCUCAGCUGGGCGGAGCCAAGGCUAGUCCUUGGUUCAGAGCAAUUUUGAGUGCAUUUCUUUGUGAGUUCUACAUGCACUUGCCAUCUGUACUGGGACUCUUCACCCCCCCCCCCUCGCCGAGAGGGAUAAUAUAUAAUACAGGUUUAAAAUGAAGACUUUAGAUGCUAGAUGGUAAGAGGUGCCCAGGUAGGAAACCUGAUGUGGAAUCUUAGUCCUAUGAUUUCCAGGAUGAAUCUUACAGGCAUCUAGUCAGACCAUAAACAGAAAUGACAUUUCGUUCACUUAAUGAUAGGUGAAAAAUUAUUCACUGGCUGUGGCUGCUAAUUGAGGUCCAGCAUGAGUCAGGCUAGAACUUAGGAAGUCAGGAACAGGGUAAAAAAUAAGCAUGGAUCAGGAAGUGGAUUUUAAUAAGAUAUCCAUGGGAGGGGGACCCUUGCUAUGUGAGGGCUAGAUAAAUAUGAUGAUUUCCACUGGUGCUGUGCUGUGUGCUUUGGAAGUGGGAGGGGUGGGGAAGGGGAGUCAGGGCUCCUAAAGUGCCACUCUCCAAGCUUUAGCUGACAUAGAAAGCAGGCGGUGCUUGUAAAGUCAAAUGCUUUUUGGCAUUUCUGGUGGUGUAAAUUCCAUCGUGUCUCUACCAUUUUGAAGAACAUCUUGGUGUGGUAGGAGUGAGGGGCUUCUUGUGGUAGGGCUCCCUGCUAAAGGAGAGAGGUGGCUCAGCAAGAUGGCUGAGGCAUGGGGACUUUGCAGAAGGGCCCAAGACAACACCCACUCUGAGUACUUCUCAGCCAGUCCCCACAGGGAACAACACCAAACACUGUGGUUGCUGAAGCUGUGCCCUUGAAGCUAAGGGAGCAUGGAACGCUAGUGUGAAUCAGAGUGGGUGUGGCCAUUCAGGGACAAAAUUCCCAUCCGUUGGCUGUGGUUCUUUUUAUCUUUAGUUAAUGAUUUCAUUCUUUAAAAAUUAAAAACAAAACAAAACAAAACAAAACUCCACACGUCAAUUUUCACAUGUUUAUGGUGUUGUUUGUGGAUUAGUGGUCUGUAAUUACCUCAACUCCUGGGCACAGUAUAUUUGUUAUCACAGUGAAGAGGGCGUACCAAUUAUUUUAAAAAGCAAUUUCUCUUUUAAUUUAUGCACGUGCGAUAUUAGCUAGCUUAAAUGCAUAUGCAUAGAAAGAUACGUAGUCUCUCUACAUUGACCUGGCUGUCCUAGAACUCAGUACGUCGAUGAGGCUGGCCUCAAACUCACAGAGCUCCACCUGCCUCUGCCUCCCAAGUUCUGGGAACAUAGGUAUGUGCAACCAUGCCUGGAGAAAGAUAAUUAUAUAUAGCUAUUUAUUAUAUAGCUAUUUUAUUGC